AUGAAGGCAGCAUUAAAAACUAUCCUCCCACAAACUCUGCAUAAGUUGUGUCGGUGGCAUAUCAUGAAGAAGUACAAGGACCACCUCGCAUUGCUGUAAAAGGCACACGAGAUGCUCAAGGACGAACUCAAUGCAGUGCUGAACCACCCACUAAUGCCGUCAGAAUUUGAACGAGCAUGGAAGAACCUCAUUCAAAGGUACAACUUGCAAGACGACGAAGUGAUGAAUUCUUUGUGGGAUGACAGGCACGAGUGGAUCUCGGCUUACUACAAGGAAAUUUUCUGUGCUCGGAUGACUUCCACACAGAGAAGCGAGAGCAUGAACCGCAUACUGAAGAAAAAAUUUGUCACGGAGAAGCAUGAUCUCCAUCUGUUUGCUCAGUAGGUGAAGUGCAUUCAGACCAGGAAGGCCAUCGAGCAUGCAGAGACAGUAGCAAAUGAGUCAGAGGUAAAAACAACAACAAAGUUUGGCUUCCAAGUUCAGCUAUCAAAAGUGUAUACAAGGGCUGUGUUUGCAGAUUUCAAAGAAACACUCUACCGUAGCACUGCAUUCAGAGCAGAACGGUGCCCUGAGAACCCGACAAAGUAUCUCAUACACCACUACAACAGAUCGGAUGCAUUUUACUGGGCAAGGCAUAAUUUCCAAGUGGUCACCGAUGAAGAGAAAGGUAUCUACGAAUGUGAGUGCAAACUCUGGACACACAUAGGCCUCUUUUGCGUCCAUGUCUUAUGCAUGCUUUCUCAUUUGAGAGUACUCAACAUUCGUGAGGUGUACAUCAUGAAAAGAUACACCCGUAAUGCAAGAUCAGAUGCAACGUUUGACCGAAGAGACUACGAACAAACAGCACCAGAUGGAACCUCGCUUUUUUGCCGUAGAAAAUUGCUGACAGAAACAGCAAUGGACCUUGCAAACAGAGCGACAAGGUCCGAU
rnacentral:rRNA from 1 species